rnacentral:snoRNA from 1 species
UCUCUGUGAUGAAGAAACACAGAUGACGAGUCUGAACAUUUUCCAUUCUUUCUAAUCGUGAGGACAAUUCGAGGCAUUUGUCUGAGAGAA